rnacentral:rRNA from 1 species
GUACACUCCUACGGGAGGCAGCAGUGGGGAAUAUUGGACAAUGGGCGCAAGCCUGAUCCAGCCAUGCCGCGUGAGUGAUGAAGGCCCUAGGGUUGUAAAGCUCUUUUGUGCGGGAAGAUAAUGACGGUACCGCAAGAAUAAGCCCCGGCUAACUUCGUGCCAGCAGCCGCGGUAAUACGAAGGGGGCUAGCGUUGCUCGGAAUCACUGGGCGUAAAGGGUGCGUAGGCGGGUCUUUAAGUCAGGGGUGAAAUCCUGGAGCUCAACUCCAGAGCUGCCUUUGAUACUGAAGAUCUUGAGUUCGGGAGAGGUGAGUGGAACUGCGAGUGUAGAGGUGAAAUUCGUAGAUAUUCGCAAGAACACCAGUGGCGAAGGCGGCUCACUGGCCCGAUACUGACGCUGAGGCACGAAAGCGUGGGGAGCAAACAGGAUUAGAAACCCUGGUAGUCCCAUGA